CCUACGGGUGGCAGCAGUGGGGAAUAUUGCGCAAUGGGCGAAAGCCUGACGCAGCGACGCCGCGUGAGGGAUGAAGGUCUUCGGAUCGUAAACCUCUGUCAGCAGGGAAGAACGGUCACUGUGCUAAUCAGCAGUGAAUUGACGGUACCUGCAAAGUAAGCACCGGCUAACUCCGUGCCAGCCGCCGCGGUAAUACGGAGGGUGCGAGCGUUAAUCGGAAUUACUGGGCGUAAAGCGCUCGUAGGCGGGAUGUCAAGUCAAGGGUGAAAUCCCCGCGCUCAACGUGGGAACUGCCUUUGAAACUGGCAAACUGGAGUGUGGGAGAGGAUAGUGGAAUUCCAGGUGUAGGAGUGAAAUCCGUAGAUAUCUGGAGGAACAUCAGUGGCGAAGGCGACUAUCUGGCACAUAACUGACGCUGAGGAGCGAAAGCGUGGGUAGCAAACAGGAUUAGAUACCCUUGUAGUC
rnacentral:rRNA from 1 species